UUGAGUGUGUACAGUGUAAUGGGUGACCGAACUGUUGAAACUAGGUGAGUUGCAGAUUAGCUCCAGGAAGAACGACGACUCAGGAUAAUGGUUUAAUAGUACACGGACACUAAACGGUUUCGAAAUGAAGAACAAGCAGCCAACACUGUAAGCAGUAAAUGAUUUUUUCAUUCAACGAGUGCACCAGUGUAUCAGUGUCUAGGGUCACCUCUUUGAGACCUUCGAAUAUUCUUCUCCUGGGCAAUGGAACAGAUUGUUUCCCACAAAUCGACAUGCACUUUUGGACAACAUACGUAUAUUUAUUGUCUACAGAUGGAUAAUUAAUAAAUAAAUAAAAUUCCAUUCUAAAAGUUGGUUAAACACAUUAAAGGCUCACGGAAUACAACCAGUGUUUAUAUCUUUCUAUUUGCCUCACUGUUCCAUCUAAGAGGAUUAUGGAGAGAUUAAUAAGAUUUGUGGAUUGUACUGUCAUAAACAAAAUUAGAAAAACAAACAAGGAACCAAUUGAUAACAUAAGAGACUCGG